rnacentral:rRNA from 1 species
GACGUAGGGUGCGAGCGUUGUCCGGAUUUACUGGGCGUAAAGAGCUCGUAGGUGGUUUGUCGCGUUGUUCGUGAAACUCACAGCUCAACUGUGGGCGUGCGGGCGAUACGGGCAGACUAGAGUACUGCAGGGGAGACUGGAAUUCCUGGUGUAGCGGUGGAAUGCGCAGAUAUCAGGAGGAACACCGGUGGCGAAGGCGGGUCUCUGGGCAGUAACUGACGCUGAGGAGCGAAAGCGUGGGGAGCGAACAGG